rnacentral:rRNA from 1 species
AGAGUUUGAUCAUGGCUCAGAUUGAACGCUGGCGGCAGGCUUAACACAUGCAAGUCGAGCGGUAACAGGAGAAGCUUGCUUCUCGCUGACGAGCGGCGGACGGGUGAGUAAUACUUAGGAAUCUACCUAGUAGUGGGGGAUAGCUCGGGGAAACUCGAAUUAAUACCGCAUACGACCUACGGGAGAAAGGGGGCAACUUGUUGCUCUCGCUAUUAGAUGAGCCUAAGUCGGAUUAGCUAGAUGGUGGGGUAAAGGCCUACCAUGGCGACGAUCUGUAGCUGGUCUGAGAGGAUGAUCAGCCACACCGGGACUGAGACACGGCCCGGACUCCUACGGGAGGCAGCAGUGGGGAAUAUUGGACAAUGGGGGCAACCCUGAUCCAGCCAUGCCGCGUGUGUGAAGAAGGCCUUUUGGUUGUAAAGCACUUUAAGCAGUGAAGAAGACUCCAUGGUUAAUACCCAUGGACGAUGACAUUAGCUGCAGAAUAAGCACCGGCUAACUCUGUGCCAGCAGCCGCGGUAAUACAGAGGGUGCAAGCGUUAAUCGGAAUUACUGGGCGUAAAGCGAGCGUA